rnacentral:rRNA from 1 species
GAUGAACGCUGGCGGCGUGCCUAAUACAUGCAAGUCGAGCGAACGGACGAGAAGCUUGCUUCUCUGAUGUUAGCGGCGGACGGGUGAGUAACACGUGGAUAACCUACCUAUAAGACUGGGAUAACUUCGGGAAACCGGAGCUAAUACCGGAUAAUAUUUUGAACCGCAUGGUUCAAAAGUGAAAGACGGUCUUGCUGUCACUUAUAGAUGGAUCCGCGCUGCAUUAGCUAGUUGGUAAGGUAACGGCUUACCAAGGCAACGAUGCAUAGCCGACCUGAGAGGGUGAUCGGCCACACUGGAACUUGGACACGGACCAGACUCCUACGGGAGGCAGCAGUAGGGAAUCUUCGGCAAUGGGCGGAAGCAUGGCGGAGCAACGCCGCGUGAGUGAUGAAGGUCUUCGGAGCGUAAAACUCUGUUAUUGGGGAAGAACAUAUGUGUAAGUAACUGUGCACAGCUUGACGGUACCUAAUCAGAAAGCCACGGCUAACUACGUG